GGGACAUUUCAUGGGGUGAGGACCAUCCUGAUUGCCAUUCCUUUAUGUCUUGUUCUUUCCCUGUCCCCAGGAUGUUGAUUGUGGGGACAAAAAUUCUGAUUUUGACCCUGAUGAUGCUGAAUUUCCUAGAGGCUACAGGAAGAGAUAGUGAAGAGAACUUCAUGGAGCAGACGAAGGCGGAGUGUCACUUUGUCAAUGGGAUUGAGCACGUGCAGUUUGUGGGGAGACUCAUAUACAACCGCGAGGAGAUCCUCCGCUUUGACAGCGAAGUGGGGAAGUUCGUGGCUUUGACCGAGCUGGGACGGCCCAUUGAGGAGCUAAUGAACAGUCAACUGGAGGCUCUGGAGCAAGCGCGGGCCCAGGUGGCCAUGUGCAGAGACAACUAUAUCCUGUGGGAGUCCUUGUGGAAUCGGAGGAGAGUUGAGCCUGAAGUAACUGUGUAUUCAUCAAAGAUAACUCCCCUAGGAUACCCAAACCAGCUUAUCUGUUUUGUUACUGGUUUUUAUCCUGGGGACAUUAAGGUCAGAUGGUUCCUGAAUGGUCAAGAGGAGACAGCUGGGGUUUUGUCCACAGGCCUGAUUAACAAUGGAGACUGGACCUUUCAGACUCAGGUUAUGCUGGAAAUGAUCCCCAAGCCUGGAGAUGUCUACACUUGCCAAGUGGAGCACUCCAGCCUUCAGAACCCUGUCAUUGGAGUUUGGGAAGCACAGUAUGGAUCUGCCCAGAAAAAGAUGCUGAGUGGAGUUGGGGGCCUUGUACUAGGGCUGAUUUUCCUUGGGUUUGGCCUUGCUGUUUAUCUUAAAAGUCAAAAAGGUUUUGAAGCUAAGUAAAACCUUGGACUCUGGAGGAAAAAAUGCUGCUGCUCAUGAGCUCAGGGCCAUGGUGAAAAGAGGCAUAAAGCUGGUCUUGUCUACAGACUCAAUGCUGAGAAGUUAGAUAUGGAGAAAAAACAUACUGGAGUUGUCUUGAGAGGAUGAGCAGCCUCAGCCAGAGGAUUAUGUGUCAGGUGAUGUCUAUCCUGCAAGAUCACCUGGAAGAGGCAAAUUGAAUUAAAAAAAAUAGCUAAUAAAGGCCAAAGCGGAAAAAAA